UAGGAAGUGGUGUAGGGGAAGCACUAGGAGUUUUGAUCUCCUGAGUAUGGGUUCAACUCCCUUCUUUCUAG
rnacentral:tRNA from 1 species